rnacentral:lncRNA from 1 species
UUCAUAUUCUUGUUGCAUUGGGUGAAUUGUUGCUACUCUAUUAAAUUGAUUCCUAUUAGGUUCUCACAAGAGGGGAUAAAAUCUGGUUGUGCAUUGUUUGCGUUUAUCCCAUCAAAGUGGUAUCAGAGCAUUGGUUCAAGAUAAUUUGUGCCUUGUGUAGAACAAUGGAAAGCAAUACAAGUAGAAUGAUCACUCUGAAUGGUUCCAAUUAUCAUGUUUGGAAAGGAAAAAUGGAAGACUUAUUGUAUGUGAAGGAUUAUUAUUUGCCUGUGUUUGCUUCUGAAAGGCCAGAAAAUAAAACUGAUGCAGAAUGGAAUUUACUUCAUCGACAGGUUUGCGGUUAUAUCAGACAGUGGGUAGAUGAUAAUGUUCUCAAUCAUGUUAGUGAAGAGAAACAUGCAAGGAGUCUAUGGAAUAAGCUCGAACAGUUAUAUGCUCGAAAGACUGACAAUAAUAAAUUGUUUCUAAUCAAGAAGAUGAUGAGUUUGAAGUAUCAAGAUGGAACUCCUAUGACAGAUCAUUUGAAUACAUUCCAAGGUAUUAUUAAUCAGUUGGUUGGAAUGAAUAUCAAGUUUGAGGAAGAGGUGCAAGGGUUGUGGCUUCUUG